rnacentral:rRNA from 1 species
UGCGGAGGAAAAGAAACCAACAGGGAUUGCCUUAGUAGCGGCGAGUGAAGCGGCAAUAGCUCAAAUUUGAAAUCUGGCACCUUCGGUGUCCGAGUUGUAAUUUGAAGAAGGUAUCUUUGGUUUUGGCUCUUGUCUAUGUUCCUUGGAACAGGACGUCACAGAGGGUGAGAAUCCCGUGCGAUGAGAUGCCCAAUUCCAUGUAAAGUUCCUUCGACGAGUCGAGUUGUUUGGGAAUGCAGCUCUAAGUGGGUGGUAAAUUCCAUCUAAAGCUAAAUAUUGGCGAGAGACCGAUAGCGAACAAGUACUGUGAAGGAAAGAUGAAAAGAACUUUGAAAAGAGAGUGAAAAAGUACGUGAAAUUGUUGAAAGGGAAGGGCUUGAGGUCAGACUUGGUUUUACCAGGCCAGCAUCAGUUUGGAUGGCAGGAUAAUAGCUUAGGAAUGUGGCACUGCUUCGGUAGUGUGUUAUAGCCUGGGUUGAUACUGCCUGUCUAGACUGAGGACUGCGUCUUUGACUAGGAUGCUGGCAUAAUGACCUUAAGCCGCCCGUCUUGAA